GGCUGCACAAUUUAUAACUGUACAAAGGUAGCAUAAUAAUUUGUUUUUUAAUUAAAAACUAGUAUGAAUGAUUAUAUGAAAUAUAAACUGUUUCAAUUAAAUAAAAAUUUAAAUUUUUAUUUAAGUUAAAAAACUUAAAUAUAUUUAAAAGACGACAAGACCCUAUAGAAUUUUAUUUAUUAUUUAAUAAUAAUAAUUAAUUAAUUUAAUUAAAUUUAAAUAAUAAAUUUAAUUGGGGUAAUUUAAAAAUUAAAAAAAUUUUUUUUUUAUAAAACAUAAAUUAAUGAAUAUAAAAUCUUAAAUUUUAAAUUAUUAAAAUUAAUUACCUUAGGGAUAACAGCAUAAUUUUUUUUAAAAGACCUUAUU
rnacentral:rRNA from 1 species